rnacentral:lncRNA from 1 species
AUACACUACCACUAAUUUCGAGAUGUUCAAAAGAUAAUGCAUUCUGAAUAUAGAUACAUAGUCUUCCAUUGAAGGAAAAAAUAGGCACCUUUAAACAAUCAAGCUGUUUAACAGCACUGAUGUUCUGUCUCCUUCAGGCCGCCCAGUUUAACCUUGUCCCUGAAAAGAAAUCUUUCAGCACCGCGUGUAAUCCUAUACAGGUAAGAAAAUUUAAUAACUAUACAUAUAUUUCAAGAAGUAUGAACUACCUACCUUGUUUUUUGAAAUUCGAAUCAUAUGCCUAGGCAGAGGUCCCAACACCCUCUCCAUUAAAACCAGAUCAUCCAAGUUCUCAUCUAAGACUACUAACCGUAGGAGCUCCACUACUAUGACUAUACAACCAAUACUCCACUGAUCACAAGGAUAAUUCCAUCUCAGUCCUGAAACAAAUACGCAUGUUACAGAAUUUAGUCUUGGUACCAAAAAUGUUCCUCCUGAUGAGUGAUGAAGGCAUUACUGAAGAGAAUUGAAGCGUGUGACAGAAUCAAGAAGAGUAGGUCAGUCCAAGAACAAAUACAGCUCAAGAAUCUUGACAUUUCCUGUAAACCUGUAACCACAGAGAUGUUCAUCAACGUAUCUGGAUUCAAACUUCUUCUUCUUUGCUUUCCUUUCAGUGCGUCCAAAAUGGUGAUUUUGCCAUUCACGGACUAUGGCCUAAUAUGUGGGAUGUAAGCUAACCAUUACUGAUCCAAUCUCCUGCUUCCAUCCCAUAGGUUGGGCACAGGCGGUAAAUGGUGAAAUCACCCUUUGGGUAGAUGGGAUGCAUGGAAUAAUAAGUUGCACUCAGAUCUGAUACAAAUACAAAAUACAGAAGUUAGAACGAGGGGGAGUUGGAGAUUGAGACAAAAUGAGACUUGAGGUGAAAAUGAUUCAAAAAGUGUACACAUCACAUGCAGACUCAAACACAGUAUAUCAAAAAAAGACUUCAAAGUUCAAACAGCUGUGAAUCCAUAUAAUAUGUCUUCCUGCUUAUUAAAAUUAUGAAAGUGACUUGAAACUGUGAAUCCAAAUAUGUCAAUAAAGAUUAAUUACUGAUUUGAAAUGAGAUAAAAGUAACAUGUGGUUUGUUUGUUUUAUUACCAAAAACUAGUAUAUGGUUCUCAUUUCAGUCGCUUAUAGUAUUACAACCAAUGUGUAUUCUUUCUAUUAUCCCCCUUAGUGGAUUCCAUCAAAUAUGCCAACCACACAUUCAAUUACCCCUCACCUACUAAAGAGAUUGAAAUACAAUUCUAAUUCAUUUAUAUAGUAAUUUUUUACACCCCAUACGCAAAAAUGAGCAUUUGGUGGUUGUAAUUUAUAACUAUUCCCUCAACCUCUUGCCAAUCCCCAUCAAAUUAUCCAUUAACGUUUUCCUUUUCUUUUGAACUUCAAUUGUAUACUGAAUAAACAUGUCAAUGUUUAGGUCCUUAUACAAGAGCAUUAAUCAGUAUCCCUGUUUUUUUGUCUUCGAAAUCAUUGUGCACUCCAUUUGAUAACUAGCCCUCUCAGUCAACAAAAUAUAUCCCAACAGCAGUAGAUGUCCAAGUUUGACAGAACACCAUUUUUUACACCUUAGCAAGGUUCACAAGUCAGUCCUAUCUAAAUAUCCCAACAGAAUAUCCUAGAAUCCAUUUACUGAUUUGUUUGUAAAGACUAGUAAGGUUGCACAAGUUUGUUCACUGGAGAUGUAUACAUUAGAUGCAAUGCAACCAAGAUUAAUUAGAAGUAAAUACAACUCUCAAAAUCCAAAUUGUAACAAAACAUAUCAAGUAUGAAUCUUAUCAUAGCCACACAGCUUCAACAAGGAAAUUGAGGUGUGUGGUUAUCAAAGUUGUUAUUAUAGAAAGCUAGUCUUUUGAAGACCUAGUAAACUCAGUACACCCUUGUAACCCUGCUAAGAUUAACGUACCUGUAGCCAUUGCAGUAGAUAAACGUUUUCUAACUCAUUCUUCUUCGUUUUAGCUUUCAUUUCACUCACUCCAAAUUGGCGAUUUGAAAAUCCAUGGCUUAUGGCCCAAUAUGUGGGAUGGAAGCUAACCACUAUUCCAAUCUCCUGCUUCCAUCCCAUAGGUAAUAGGUUGGGUCCAGGCGAUGGAUUGUGAAAUCGUCACUUGGGUUGUUUGGAAUGCAUGGAAGAUCAGGUACAAAUAGAAGUAUUCCAAUGCAGGGCCAGUACUUCAAACGAGCAUGAGAGGAAGGGAAACUUUUCGACAAAAUGGGACCUGGAUGAAUAUGAAACAAAACAAGGAGGAGAAUGCACAGAGAGUCAAAUAAGAGUUGAAACUGUUAAUCCAAUAUGUCAAAAAAUAUUAAUUACUGAUUAUAAUAGAGAUAAAUGUAACAGGUGAUUUGUUUGUGACAGUACCUAAAUAAUUUUGUAUGUACAGUUUUGAUUCCAGUCUCAUCAGUUAAGUUUGAUCAAAGAAACCAAUCACAUUCAAGCAUUCAACCGCCACUCACUUAACAAAGAGAUUGAAUCACACAUUCAAACACCUCUCACCUCCUAAGGAGAUUGAGAUACUUUAGUGAUUCAUCACCAAUUUUUUUUUUGCCUAAUUUAAGUUUAAUCACUUUUUAUUUUUCUCAAAAUUUGACCUGUAUUUGUAUUUAUUAUGAUAUUGUUUAUAAUCGUGUAUGAUAUGCCAAUACAAUUAAAACCACCCAAUACCCAAUUGUAGAAAACAAAAUUAAUGCAAUUUUACUACUCUUCAAGAUCAAUUCCCUUCAUAUCAGAAAUUUCAUUAAAAUCUGGAAGGUAACUGUGAGUGAGAAAAAGAGUGAAUAAAAUGCAAGAUCACAUAAAUGGGAAACAUGUUAAUUGAUGAUGCAUACUUGUUUUCUUUGGAAGUCUGGAACCCAGAUUGAUUAGAAGCAAAUGAAACCCAGAAAGUAUCAAGUAUACAACAUGAAUCUUACCAUAGCUAGGCAUCUUACACAAAGAAGGGGUGUGUAGUGUGAUCACAGUUGUACUCUGCUAAGAUUAUCGUGCCUGUAUGGCCGAAUAUGUGGGAUGGAAGCCAAUCAUAUCACUAAUCCAUAUUUGGUCUACCCUUCCAUUCCGUAGGUUCGGCCAAACCGAUGCAAUGUGAAAUCCUCCUUUGGGUAGUACUAAGACUUCUUGCCUUCUUGGAUGAGAUGAGUAGUAGAUUCGUUCAAUCUUAUUAUAUAUAUAGUAAAAUUGCAACCACCACAUGCAGACUGCAGUAUAAAAUGUGUGAUUCAACCUCUUUGGUAUGGUAGGUGAGAAGUGCUUGAAAGUGUGAUUGACAUUUGAUAUCAUGGCAAUUCCACUACAAGGCAUGCACAUUGGUUGUGACUUGUGAGUAUGGAAUCAAAACUUACUGCACUCUCCUCAUUUAGUAAAUUUGUUAUUCAUUUUUUGGAUCGUGGAUUGGAAACAAGUUCUGGUAGCUAGCUUCAUUUUAAGUAUAAAAAAAAAGAAGAUUAAUGGCCACUAGUGAAAAAAGAAGUUCUGGUAGCUAGCUUCCAUUUCUGAUUUAUUAGUACUUUGCACUUAAUAUUGAUUAGGGGUGCAUCUUAAAAUAUGAGCUGAUCUCCCUUCAGGAGCUUAUAGUUUACACUACCCUCUUACACAAAAUAUAGACAUGGUCAGCACUUGUUUAUAUUGCAAACUGCAAUGGACUCCAACACACUUACAACAACCAUACACUACUAGGAAACUAACUAAAACCCUAUCUGAUCAAAAUCAAGGCUAAAAUGUCAGCUAACCUGCCCAAGUCUAUUUUUUUUUCAGUUUACACGACAUUACACAAAACUACUUUUACGCAACAUAUAAAUCUACUCUACUACCCAGUAUAAAAAAAAAACGAGCUCUAAGCCUCUAAGAUUGGCAAAAAGACGAGCACAAAUAAUAACAAUAACCCGUUUAGAGUUAAUAAACUUACCAGAAUCCGAUUGUACUCACAAUUCAACUGGUUACAGCCGCUUUUGUUCCUAAACUAGGACCCCUUGGUGAUCAUCUUCCUAUGACAUGAUCCAGCAUUUCACAAUUGAGAGAAGUAAAAAAAAUACACAGAUUAUCGAAAGAGUAAAAUAAGUCAGGAAGCAGUAACCAGUAAGCAUGACAUUCCAGUAAUGUGUAUGAGCAGAGCCCUACCACAACCAAUUUGGGAAAUUAUAAUAAUUCGUUUGGUUUUUAUGGUGUGCAGUGUGCAGAGAAGUGUACAGAGUACAGGCAAAUGCAUACUGUACUUUGGACUAAUGCAGGGAUAUUCUUUAAGUGUAUACUUUCAUUAACAAGUUAGACUCCUACAAUGUAUAUGCUAAAAUAAAAAAUACAUACAACUAGGAAGAAUUCAAUUGCAUAUCAUCAAUAACAUUAAGAGAUAGAAGAUGAGAAAUGAAAAAGAAUUAUAUGUACCUUCUAAUAUGGAGUUCUCGAAAACUGCUGUAUACAAUUAUACAAAAUCAAGAAGAAAACGAGUAUGUGAAAUUAUGAACACAAUACUUAACAAUACUUCACUUACCAAAAACAAAACUAAUGAAAUUUAUGCAAGCCAAGGAAUGUAUAUGCUAAAAUCAACCAAUCUGUCAGUACUCUAAUCUUCCACAAUUUAAAUUAGUAAAGUGAAAAAGGUUAAAUGAUUUGCGAUAAUUUUUUUGUUUCUUUUAAAUUAAAGGAAUUAAUGUGAUCAUGAUCUGAUUUAAUAUUUCUAUCAGGGCCAAUGUUCCUUAUUCAAUCAAACAAACCAAAGGAGUGACGGAGAUUGAGUUGCAAUUUUGACGAACUUGAUAAAUGGAGGCUGGUAAUGAAAUGGUGUGUAAUGUGUAAUGUCGUUGUGGUGGUUGCUCUGGAAGACUCAAUUCGAACUGUAAUUAGAGCCAGACAAUCUGAUCCUAGAAUCCAUUUACUGAUUGGUUGGUGAAGACUAGUAAGGUUGCACAAGUUUAUUCACUGGAGAUGCAUACACAUUAGAUGCAAUGCAACCAAGAUUAAUUACAAGUAAAUACAACUCUCAAAAUCUAAAUUUUAACAGAAAUGUAUCAAGUAUGAAUCUUGCCAUAGCCAUCAUCAACAAGGAUAUUGAGAAGGCGUGUGGUGAUCAAAGUUGUAAGUAAACUUUGUUAUUAUAAAAAGUAAAUCUUAGAAGACCUAGCAAACUCAGUACUGUAUACCCUGCUAAGAUUAACGUACCUGUAGCCAUAGCUGUAGAUAAACAUUUUUUGACUCAUUCUUCUUCGUCCCAGCUUUCAUAUCAUUGACUCCAAGUUGGCGGCCUGGAAGCUAAUCGCUAAUCACUAUUCCAACCUCCUGCUUCCAUCCCAUAGGUUGUUCGGAAUGCAUGAAAUAAUAAGUUGCGCUUCAGAUCAGGUUCAAAUAGAAGUACUCCAUUGCAGGGCUAGUAGUUUAAGCUAGCACGAGGGGAAGGGGAAGUUUUCGAUAAAACAAAAUCUGGACGAAAAUGAAACAAAACAAGAAGGAUAAAUGUACAGACUCAAAUACGAGUUGAAACUAUGAAUCCAAAUAUGUCAAAAAAAAAAAAUAUCAAUUACCGAUAAUAAUAGAGAUAAAAAGUAACAAGUGAUUUGUUUGUUAAAGACAUACAGUACCAAAAACUAUACAGAUAUAGUUUUGAUUCCAGACUCAUUAGUCAAAUACCAAACACAUUUAAGCACUUGAAGCAUUCAACUGGCAAUUUCACUGCUCUUCGAUGCAUACAUAGAGAGAUAAUUACAAUGAAAAACAUGUUAAUUGUUUAUGCAUAUUUGUUUUCUUGGAAAUUGAAUAUGAAGUGAGUGUAUGAGUGUGAUUGAUAUACACGAUUCUUGUUGUUGUUGUUCUUCUUCUUCUUCUUUUCUUUAGCUUUCACUUGGAUGAAUCCAAAUUAACGAUUUUCGUAUACAUGGAUGGAUCAUGGAAUGGACUAGGGUGGUCAUCCACUGAUGACUGAUCCAUCCCAUUCCCAUAUACAAUACUAGGUUCGGCCAAAGCGAUGCAUAGUGAAAUCGUCCUUUGGGUAAGUACUGUUUCUGUUUGUAUUGGGAUCAACGAGGAGACGAAAGGAGACUUGUUUGAGUUCUUUUGGGGUUGAAAGUGAAAGUGAAUAAUAAAAACUUCUUGGAUACUACUAAAAGAAUCCACAGUUUUUUUGGACUUUGGUACCUAGGCUUCAAGCCCCUAGUGAAGAUUACUUGAAACUGUUUCUUCAGUGCAUCUUAUCUUAUUUCCCAGUUUUCUCUGUUAAAUAAAUAAAAGUAUGUACAGCAGAUUAUAUAUAUGUCAGGCCUCAUAUGUUUAUAGCUUCUGCUUCUGAUUCAUUAGUACUUUGCACUUAAUAGGAUCUUAAAAAACAUGAGCAGAUUUCCCUUCAGGAGUUUAUAGUCCUUAACUUCUGUCACUUGCUUAUCCCUGUUUUAUAAUCAGUCUUUCACUUGGUUAACAACCUAGAGACUGUCAAAUGACAGAUUUAGUACAUUACCACUAAACAAUGCAGUCUGAUACUAAAUUAGUAUUAAUGUACCAUCCAGCAACCAAUUCUCUAAGUAUAAAGCGUGCACAUUGUCUUCCCUUAAUGGGAAGAAUAGGCACCUUUAAACGGUCAAGCUGUUUCACAAUACUGAACUACUGAUGAUCUGUCUUGAAACAACUCCUUCAGACCGGCCAGUUUAUACUUUUCCCUGUAAGAUAUUUUUCAGCACCACAGGUGAAAAUUUUAAUAACUAUACAUAUAUUAUGGUAACUGGAAGUGGAAGCUGUCAUCACUUAACAUUAGAGUUUGAGACCACAAUAGGCAAUCAACACUUCGAAAGUACAACACUAUUAUGCAAUGUAACAGAAAUUGAACAUUGAACCGUACCGCCAGCAAUUCAAAUUGCAAAAUAUAUAGGAAAGAGAAGCCAAUCGGGCAGAUCAAAACGCAUAUUCAUGUGUAUUAAAAUUAGUUAUAGAUUUUCCCUCCUGCUUUUGCAGUAUAAGAAAUCCAAAUCCACAGCAAAUCAAAUUGCAAAGCACAUCAAAAUUAGAAGCAAAAAGUGCAGAUCAAAUCACGAUACAAUUCCGGAUUAGACUACAAUAGUAUUAUGGUACCCAAGCAAUAUUUCAAACAGUAUGAACUACCUACCUCGCUUUUCGAAUCAUAUGCCUAGGGAGAGCUCCUAACACCCUCUCCAUCAAACCAGAUCAUCCAAGUUCUCAUGUUGGACUACUAACCGUACGGAGUUCCACAACAAUUGAGUAUAUAACCAACCCUCCACAGAUCAAAAGGAAUAUUUCAAGAAGCAUGAACUACCUACGUCGCUUUUCGAAUCAUAUGCCUAGACAGAGGUCCCAACACCCUCUCCAUCAAACCAGAUUAUCCAAGUUCUCGUGUUGGACUACUAACCGUACGGAGCUCCACGACUAUGAGUAUACAACCAACACUCCACA